rnacentral:lncRNA from 1 species
AGUGGAGUAUGGCACUGCAAAAACAAACAAUGGGUCGUCGUGUCAACAAUCAAGGUACGGUAUUUUCACGUUGGAGAACACCGGCGGAUGGAUGGCUACGUGAAGUGCAACUAUGAUGGAGGAUGGUCAUCUAUUAAUACUCGAGCACGAGCAGGUUGGAUCAUUAGGGAUUCUUUUGGAAGUUAUCAAGGUGCGGGUCAAGUGGCUCAUGGAUUUGGAAGCGGAGUUGCACCUUG